rnacentral:rRNA from 1 species
CCUACGGGGGGCAGCAGUGGGGAAUAUUGGGCAAUGGGCGCAAGCCUGACCCAGCAACGCCGCGUGAAUGAAGAAGGCUUUCGGGUUGUAAACUUCUUUUCUCAGGGACGAAGAAGGUGACGGUACCUGAGGAAUAAGCCACGGCUAACUACGUGCCAGCAGCCGCGGUAAUACGUAGGUGGCAAGCGUUAUCCGUAUUUACGGGGGGUAAAGGGCGUGUAGGCGGGAAAGCAAGUCAGAGGUGAAAACCAGGGGCUCAACCUGUGGCCUGCAUUUGAAACUGUUUUUCUUGGGUACUGGAAGGGUAGGCGGAUUUCCUAGUGUAGCGGUGAAAGGGGUAGAUAUUAGGAGGAACACCGGUGGCGAAGGCGGUCUGUGGGACGGCAACGGAGGCUGAGGCGCGAAAGCGUGGGGAGCAAACAGGAUUAGAUACCCGGUAGUC